UUUGCCUAAAUGAUGACAGGUGCAGAAACUAAGCACUAGGGGUACCUGUUUGAAGCCAGGCAAU
rfam:Lepisosteus oculatus linkage group LG2, whole genome shotgun sequence.